UGUAUGCUCAUCUUCAAGCAUUAACAAGAGAAAAGGAAAAAAUAACAGGGAAAUGGUACCUGCAGCACAGAUGGGAACAGACCCAAAAGAGCUGGAUAAGCUUCAGACAAUGUAGAAAAAACAAGGACAAUGAAGAGUAUAUAACCACUCAAAGAAGGACUGCUCUCCCUUUCGCAACACGAAAUGCAGUCGUUACUCACUGUUGCUGGGAAUGA
rnacentral:lncRNA from 1 species